UACGUAGGGUGCAAGCGUUGUCCGGAAUUAUUGGGCGUAAAGAGCUCGUAGGCGGUCUGUCGCGUCGGCUGUGAAAUCCCGAGGCUCAACCUCGGGUCUGCAGUCGAUACGGGCAAACUAGAGUAUUGCAGGGGAGACUGGAAUUCCUGGUGUAGCGGUGAAAUGCGCAGAUAUCAGGAGGAACACCGGUGGCGAAGGCGGGUCUCUGGGCAAUAACUGACGCUGAGGAGC
rnacentral:rRNA from 1 species